rnacentral:lncRNA from 1 species
GAAAAAAUGGUCACUGGUAUAUGAAAUUAGAAAAAUUGAUGGAACAAAACAAGAAGCAAAAUGAAAAAAACGCGUUACUCAAAUUCAAUAAAAAAAAAUCCGAUUUUUUCCAAAUUGGUGUAAAUGGAUAGAAUUGUAGAGAGUUGUUUCUUACAAUCAUUUCAUAAAUUUUUUCAGUUUUUUUUUUUUUUUGUAAUUUUCCCCUGAAUUUCAGACAUUACUCAUAAUUUUGUGGACAAUCAAGAUCCAAAAUUGAAGUUAUAGAUGAUUGAUUCUUCAACGAAUCGUUUCUGGGUCGGUGUUAUUUUCCCUUCAUAUAAUCUCUAUUAGCUACUUCCCAAAAAUCCCCUUUUUUUAUUUUUGAUUGAGUUAAGGAGGAUCCAAUUGUGAUUUGUGUGUAAAUUUGUGAUUUUGAUCAGCAUUUCAUGGAACUAUAUGGUUGAAUUU